UGGCUGGUGCCUCUCACUAACCGCUCCUAUGUUAGUUUCUCUGGCUCAUCCGCAGGGAGGGGCAUCAGAGCACUGAGGACUCUCACUCUUCCUGCUCCAGAGGAAGAGGGCUAUAAACGCUUGAAAAAACACAGUUGGGAGAAUAAUUGGAAGUGAAUUCGAUGUCUUCAUCCUCUGAGGAUGCGAGUGCAUGUGCCUGCUGGAAAUUACUCUUUCACGAAAUGUGUAUGUCUCUGGAUUUGAGCUUCCCUGGGCUGUGGAGCUGACCCUAACCUCUUUUGAAGUCUGUGAUCACCCUGGAUCUGAUCAGAUGCGCCAGAGUGAAUUGGGUAAGAAAGAAGACAAGAGGCCAUUAACUGCUCAGUUUCAGACCAUUUUCAGCGAGUCACAAGGAUUGCCAAAGGAGUUCCAACUCUCCAUUCAUAGGUAUAUAGGUGCUAAUAUUUUUAGAUGUCUACUUAGUAUUCUAGUAACACCACGAGUACCAAUGUCCUGAGGGGAAAACCUUUUUCUACUGAUUAAAAAAAUAAAUGUAUCCACGAAUGAUAUAA